rnacentral:rRNA from 1 species
CCUUGUACACACCGCCCGUCACACCAUGGGAGUUGGUUUUACCUGAAGACGGUGCGCUAACCGCAAGGAGGCAGCCGGCCACGGUAGGGUCAGCGACUGGGGUGAAGUCGUAACAAGGUACCC